AUGUUGCUAGCCGCCACGGCGUGCUGCUUCCUCGCCGACGAGGCCAAGAAGAGCCAGGACGGCGGCGGGGGCGGCGGCGGAGGGGGAGGAGGAGGAGGAGGAGGGCUGGGGAUUAGCCCGGUGGUGCUGGUCGUGGUGCUGGUGCUGGCCGCGCUCGUGUUCGUCUCCGGCCUGCUGCACCUGCUCGUCAGGCUCCUGCGGUGGCGCGCCCGCGCGCGCACCGGGGCGACGGAGGAUGGAGGGAGCGAGGCGGGGGAGGGAGGCGGCGGAGGGCGGGGGGCCGGGGAGGAGUCGGCGCUGCAGCGGCAGCUGCAGCAGCUGUUCCACCUGCACGACUCCGGGCUCGACCAGGCCGUCAUCGACGCGCUGCCGGUGUUCCUCUACGGGGAGGUGGUGGUCGGCGCCGGGAACGGCGCGGGCGCCAAGGAGCCGUUCGACUGCGCGGUGUGCCUGUGCGAGUUCGCCGGCGACGACCGGCUCCGGCUGCUGCCGCUGUGCGGCCACGCGUUCCACAUCGACUGCAUCGACACCUGGCUGCUCUCCAACUCCACCUGCCCGCUCUGCCGCCGCGUGCUCGCCGCCGACGACGACGCCGGCGCCGCGGGCCUCCUGCUCGACGAGGGGUGGGGGCAGGAGGGGGAGGGCGCGGUGUUCCCGGUGCGCCUCGGCAAGUUCAAGAGCACUGCCAGGGCGGCCGGCCCCGGCCCCGUCGACGCCGACGGCAUUGUGGCGGCGGAGGAGGGCGACGCGGGCAGCAGCAGCAGCAGCCUGGACGCCAGGCGGUGCUACUCGAUGGGCUCCUACCAGUACGUCCUCGCCGAGGCCAGCCUGCAGGUGUCCGUCCACCGGCGGCACGGCGACGGCGCCAACGGAGGCGCGGAGAGGAUGAGGGGCCCGAGAGGGGUCGUCGCCGGCGGUGCGAAUCCGCCCGGCUUUGGCGGGGGCGAGGGCAAGAGGAUCGGCGCGGGCAGCAAGGGCGACAGCUUCUCGGUGUCCAAGAUCUGGCAGUGGCCGCGCAACGGCAAGGGGAAGCUCCCCGUGCUCGCGCCCGACGGCUCGCCGGCGGUGGACGGCGCGCUGCAGUGGCCGAGGAGGAGCGUCGGGGAGUCGUGA
rnacentral:rRNA from 1 species